rnacentral:sRNA from 1 species
CAAGUACCCCGUGCCCGUCUUCUCCACCUUUGUGCUCACGGGUGCAGCUGGUGAUAAGGUGGGUGUGUGGAGUGUGGCAAGGGGUCCAGGCUAUGCAGGGCCUGCCUGACUACCCUUCUGCCCCCUGCCAGGUGUAUGGUGCCGCCCUGCAGUUCUACGAGGCGUUCCCAAGGGCCAGGCUAUCAGAGCGACAGGCACGGGCACUGGGCCUGCUGAGCGCCGUGGAGCGGGGUCGGGCACUGGGGGGCAGAGCUGUGCGCAGCCGGCGUGCCAUCGCUGUGCUGUCCCGCUGGCCUGCCUUCCCUGCCUUCCGCGCCUUCCUCACCUUCCUUUACCGCUACUCUGUCUCAGGCCCCCACCGCCUACCCUUGGAAGCGCACAUCUCCCACUUCAUUCACAACGUUCCCUUCCCUUCCCCACAGAGACCCCGCAUCCUAGUGCAGAUGUCUCCCUAUGACAACUUGCUCCUCUGUCAGCCUGUAUCCUCACCCCUGCCCCU